AGAGUUUGAUCAUGGCUCAGAUUGAACGCUGGCGGCAGGCCUAACACAUGCAAGUCGAACGGUAACAGGAAGCAGCUUGCUGCUUCGCUGACGAGUGGCGGACGGGUGAGUAAUGUCUGGGAAGCUGCCUGAUGGAGGGGGAUAACUACUGGAAACGGUAGCUAAUACCGCAUAAUGUCGCAAGACCAAAGAGGGGGACCUUCGGGCCUCUUGCCAUCGGAUGUGCCCAGAUGGGAUUAGCUUGUUGGUGGGGUAACGGCUCACCAAGGCGACGAUCCCUAGCUGGUCUGAGAGGAUGACCAGCCACACUGGAACUGAGACACGGUCCAGACUCCUACGGGAGGCAGCAGUGGGGAAUAUUGCACAAUGGGCGCAAGCCUGAUGCAGCCAUGCCGCGUGUAUGAAGAAGGCCUUCGGGUUGUAAAGUACUUUCAGCGGGGAGGAAGGGAGUAAAGUUAAUACCUUUGCUCAUUGACGUUACCCGCAGAAGAAGCACCGGCUAACUCCGUGCCAGCAGCCGCGGUAAUACGGAGGGUGCAAGCGUUAAUCGGAAUUACUGGGCGUAAAGCGCACGCAGGCGGUUUGUUAAGUCAGAUGUGAAAUCCCCGGGCUCAACCUGGGAACUGCAUCUGAUACUGGCAAGCUUGAGUCUCGUAGAGGGGGGUAGAAUUCCAGGUGUAGCGGUGAAAUGCGUAGAGAUCUGGAGGAAUACCGGUGGCGAAGGCGGCCCCCUGGACGAAGACUGACGCUCAGGUGCGAAAGCGUGGGGAGCAAACAGGAUUAGAUACCCUGGUAGUCCACGCCGUAAACGAUGUCGACUUGGAGGUUGUGCCCUUGAGGCGUGGCUUCCGGAGCUAACGCGUUAAGUCGACCGCCUGGGGAGUACGGCCGCAAGGUUAAAACUCAAAUGAAUUGACGGGGGCCCGCACAAGCGGUGGAGCAUGUGGUUUAAUUCGAUGCAACGCGAAGAACCUUACCUGGUCUUGACAUCCACGGAAGUUUUCAGAGAUGAGAAUGUGCCUUCGGGAACCGUGAGACAGGUGCUGCAUGGCUGUCGUCAGCUCGUGUUGUGAAAUGUUGGGUUAAGUCCCGCAACGAGCGCAACCCUUAUCCUUUGUUGCCAGCGGUCCGGCCGGGAACUCAAAGGAGACUGCCAGUGAUAAACUGGAGGAAGGUGGGGAUGACGUCAAGUCAUCAUGGCCCUUACGACCAGGGCUACACACGUGCUACAAUGGCGCAUACAAAGAGAAGCGACCUCGCGAGAGCAAGCGGACCUCAUAAAGUGCGUCGUAGUCCGGAUUGGAGUCUGCAACUCGACUCCAUGAAGUCGGAAUCGCUAGUAAUCGUGGAUCAGAAUGCCACGGUGAAUACGUUCCCGGGCCUUGUACACACCGCCCGUCACACCAUGGGAGUGGGUUGCAAAAGAAGUAGGUAGCUUAACCUUCGGGAGGGCGCUUACCACUUUGUGAUUCAUGACUGGGGUGAAGUCGCAACAAGGUAACCGUAGGGGAACCUGCGGUUG
rnacentral:rRNA from 1 species